GGGGAUUUAGGGUUAGGUUUAAGGUCAUUGAGCGGGUUAGGGUUAGGGUUCAGGGUUAGGUUUAGGGUAAGGGUUAGGGUUAGAGUUAGGUUUAGGGUUAGGUUAGGGUUAGGGUUAGGUUUAGGGUUAGGGUUUGGGUUAAGCUUAGGGUUAGGGUUAGGGUAGGGUUAGGUUUUGGGUUAGGGUUAGGGUAGAGUUAGGGUUAGGGUUAAGGUUAGGGUUAGGGUUAGGAUUAGGAUUAGGGUAAAUUUAGGGUAAGUGUACUGUAAGGGAUAGGGUUAGUUUAGGGUUAGGGUUAUAGUGAGAGAAAGUCUUAGUUUACGAUUAGGUUUUCAGAUAGGCUAAGGGUUCGGUUUGGGGUUAGUGUUAGGAUAAUGGUUAUGGUUGGGGUAGGGUUAGGGUUAGGGUAGUGUUAUUGAUAGGUUUGGGCUUCGGGUAAGUUUGGGUAGGGGUUUUGGUUAGUGUUAUGUUUAGCUUUAGGGUCAGAGUUAGGUUUGUGUUAGGAUUAGGUUUAGCGUUAGGCUUAGGGUAAGAUUAGGGUAUGGGUAACGUUUAGUAAUAGGGUUAGGGUUAUUGUUAGGGUUAGGGUUAUGGUUCAUGUAGAGUAGGAUUGAGGUUAGAGUAUGGGUUUGGGUGGGGUUACAUUUAGGGAUAAUGUUAGGGUUACGUUUAAAGUAAUAUUUAGCAUUUUUGUUAGGGUUAGAGUUAGGGUUAAGGUUAGGGUUAGGGUUAAGGUUAGGGUUAGGGUUAGGGUUAUAGUGAGAGAAAGUCUUAGGUUACGAUUAGGUUUUCAGAUAGGCUAAGGGUUCGGUUUGGGGUUAAUGUUAGGAUAAUGGUUAUGGUUGGGGUAGGGUUAGGGUUAGGGUAGUGUUAUUGAUAGGUUUGGGCUUCGGGUAAGUUUGGCUAAGGGUUUUGGUUAGUGUUAGGUUUAGCUUUAGGGUCAGAGUUAGGUUUGUGUUAGGAUUAUGUUUAGCGUUAGGCUUAAGGUAAGAUUAGGGUAUGGGUUACGGUUAGUGAUAGGGUUAGGGUUAUUGUUAGGGUUAGGUUUAUGGUUCGUGUAGAGUAGGGUGGGGUUACAUUUAGGGAUAAGGUUAGGGUUACGUUUAAAAUAAUAUUAAGCAUUUGGGAUAGGGUUAGAGUUAGGGUUAAGGUUCGGGUUAGACUUAGGGUUAGGGUUAGGGUUAGUGUUAGGGUUAGGGUUAGGGUUAGGGUUAGGGGUAGGGUUAGGGUUAGGGUUAGGGUUAGGGUUAGGGAUAGGUCAAGGGCUAGGUUCAGGGUUAGGGUUAAGGUUUGGUUUAGGGUUAGGGUUAGGGUUAUUGAAACAGUUAGGGUUAGGGUUAGGGUUAGGGUUAGGGUUAGGGUUAGGGGUUAGGGUUAGGGUUAGGGUUAGGGUUAGGUUUAGGGUUAGGGAUAGGGUUAGGGUUAGGGUUAAGGUUGGGGUAGGGUUAGGCAUAGGGUUAGGGUUAGUGUUAGGGUUAGGCAUAGGGUAACUUUAAGGUAAAGGUAGGGCAAGGGAUACGGUUAAGCUUAGGGUUAUGGUUAGGGAUAGGUCUAGGGCUAGGUUCAGGGUUAGGGUUAAGGUUAGGGUUAGGGUUAUUGUAAGUUAUAGUGCUAGGGUUAUGGUUAGUGUUAAAGUUAGGGUUAGGGUUAGGGUUAGGAUUAGAAUUAGGGUUAGGGUUAGGGUUAGGGUUAGGGUAUGGGCUAAGGCUAGGGUAGGGGUUAAGGUUAGGGUUAAGGUUAGGGUUAUUGUAAGGGUUAGGGUUAGGAUUAGGUUUAGGGUUAGGGUUAGGGUUAGGGUUAGGGUUACGGAUGGGGUUAGGGUUAGGGUUAGGGUUAGGGUUAGGCUUAGUGUUAGGAUUAUGGUUAGGGUUAGGGUUAUGGUUAGGAUUAGGGUUACGGAUGGGGUUAGGGUUAGGGUUAGGUUUAGGGUUUGGCUAAGGGUUAGGGUAAGGGUAGAGAUAUGGUUAGGGUUAGGGUUAGGGUAAGAAUUCAGUUAGGGUUAGGCUUAGUGUUAGGAUUAUGAUUAGGGUUAGGUUCAGGGUUAGCGUUAGGUUCGGGUAAGACUUCGAGUAGGGUUAAUGUUAGUUUUAGGAUUAUGGUUAGGGCUAGGUUUAGGUUCAGGGUUUGGUUAGGAUUAGGGAAAAUUCAGCGUAAGGAUAGGGAAAGGGAUAGGGUUAUGGUUACGUUUAGGGUUAGGGUAGAGUUAAGUUUAGGGUUAGGGUUAGGGUUAGGGUUAGGGUUAGGGUUAGGGUUAGGUUUAGGGUUAGGGUUACGGUUACGGUUAGGGUUAGGGUUAGGUUUAGGGUUAGGGUUAGGGUUAGGGUUAGGGUUAGGGUUAGGGUUAGGUUAGGGUUAGGGUUAGGGUUAGGGUAGGGUUAGGGUUAGGUUUAGGGUUAGGGUUAGGGUUAGGGUUAGGGUUAGGGUUAGGGUUAGGGUUAGGGUUAGGGUUAGGGUUAGGGUUAGGGUUAGGGUUAGGGUUAGGGUUAGGAUUAGGUUAGGGUUAGGGUUAGGGUUAGGUUAGGGUUAGGGUUAGGGUUAGGGUUAGGGUAGGUUAGGUUAGGG
ensembl:lncRNA